rnacentral:rRNA from 1 species
CACUCCUACGGGAGGCAGCAGUGGGGAAUUUUGGACAAUGGGCGAAAGCCUGAUCCAGCCAUGCCGCGUGCAGGAUGAAGGCCUUCGGGUUGUAAACUGCUUUUGUACGGAACGAAACGGCCUUUUCUAAUAAAGAGGGCUAAUGACGGUACCGUAAGAAUAAGCACCGGCUAACUACGUGCCAGCAGACGCGGUAAUACGUAGGGUGCAAGCGUUAAUCGGAAUUACUGGGCGUAAAGCGUGCGCAGGCGGUUAUGUAAGACAGUUGUGAAAUCCCCGGGCUCAACCUGGGAACUGCAUCUGUGACUGCAUAGCUAGAGUACGGUAGAGGGGGAUGGAAUUCCGCGUGUAGCAGUGAAAUGCGUAGAUAUGCGGAGGAACACCGAUGGCGAAGGCAAUCCCCUGGACCUGUACUGACGCUCAUGCACGAAAGCGUGGGGAGCAAACAGGAUUAGAAACCCGAGUAGCCCAUG